GAUCCUGGCUCAGGAUGAACGCUAGCUACAGGCUUAACACGUGCAAGUCGAGGGGCAGCAUUUUAGUUUGCUUGCAAACUAAAGAUGGCGACCGGCGCACGGGUGAGUAACACGUAUCCAACCUGCCGAUAACUCGGGGAUAGCCUUUCGAAAGAAAGAUUAAUAUCCGAUAGUAUAUUUUCUCCGCAUGGUGAGAAUAUUAAAGAAUUUCGGUUAUCGAUGGGGAUGCGUUCCAUUAGUUUGUUGGCGGGGUAACCGG
rnacentral:rRNA from 1 species